rnacentral:rRNA from 1 species
UGGGAAUAUUGGACAAUGGAGGAAACUCUGAUCCAGUGACGUCGCGUGAAGGAAGAAGGUCUUCGGAUUGUAAACUUAUUUUAUCAGGGACGAAAAAAAAUGACGGUACCUGAAGAAAAAGCACCGGCAAACUACGUGCCAGCAGCCGCGGUAAUACGUAGGGUGCAAGCGUUAUCCGGAUUUACUGGGUAUAAAGGGUGAGUAGACGGCAAUGCAAGUCAACUGUGAAAACUUAGAGCUUAACUUUAAGACUGCAGUUGAAACUGUAUAGCUAGAGUACAGGAGAGGAAAGCGGAAUUCCUAGUGUAGCGGUGAAAUGCGUAGAUAUUAGGAAGAACACCAGUGGCGAAGGCGGCUUUCUGGACUGAAACUGACGUUGAGGCACGAAAGUGUGGGGAGCAAAC